rnacentral:rRNA from 1 species
AAUCCAUAGGUUAAUGAGGCGAACCGGGGGAACUGAAACAUCUAAGUACCCCGAGGAAAAGAAAUCAACCGAGAUUCCCCCAGUAGCGGCGAGCGAACGGGGAGGAGCCCAGAGCCUGAAUCAGCAUGUGUGUUAGUGGAAGCGUCUGGAAAGGCGCGCGAUACAGGGUGACAGCCCCGUACACAAAAGCGCAUGUGCUGUGAGCUCGAUGAGUAGGGCGGGACACGUGGUAUCCUGUCUGAAUAUGGGGGGACCAUCCUCCAAGGCUAAAUACUCCUGACUGACCGAUAGUGAACCAGUACCGUGAGGGAAAGGCGAAAAGAACCCCGGCGAGGGGAGUGAAAAAGAACCUGAAACCGUGUACGUACAAGCAGUGGGAGCACCCUUCGGGGUGUGACUGCGUACCUUUUGUAUAAUGGGUCAGCGACUUA